AGUGAACGCUGGCGGUAGGCCUAACACAUGCAAGUCGAACGGCAGCACAGUAAGAGCUUGCUCUUACGGGUGGCGAGUGGCGGACGAGUGAGGAAUACAUCGGAAUCUACUUUUUCGUGGGGGAUAACGUAGGGAAACUUACGCUAAUACCGCAUACGACCUACGGGUGAAAGCAGGGGAUAUUCGGACCUUGCGCGAUUGAAUGAGCCGAUGUCGGAUUAGCUAGUUGGCGGGGGAAAGGCCCACCAAGGCGACGAUCCGUAGCUGGUCUGAGAGGAUGAUCAGCCACACUGGAACUGAGACACGGUCCAGACUCCUAUGGGAGGCAGCAGUGGGGAAUAUUGGACAAUGGGCGCAAGCCUGAUCCAGCCAUACCGCGUGGGUGAAGAAGGCCUUCGGGUUGUAAAGCCCUUUUGUUGGGAAAGAAAAGCAGCAGGUUAAUACCCCGCUGUUCUGACGGUACCCAAAGAAUAAGCACCGGCUAACUUCGUG
rnacentral:rRNA from 1 species